AGUGGCGAACGGGUGAGUAAAGCAUCGGAACGUGCCCAGUAGUGGGGGAUAGCCCGGCGAAAGCCGGAUUAAUACCGCAUACGACCUAAGGGUGAAAGGGGGGGAUCGCAAGACCUCUCGCUAUUGGAGCGGCCGAUGUCAGAUUAGCUAGUUGGUGGGGUAAAGGCCUACCAAGGCGACGAUCUGUAGCUGGUCUGAGAGGACGACCAGCCACACUGGGACUGAGACACGGCCCAGACUCCUACGGGAGGCAGCAGUGGGGAAUUUUGGACAAUGGACGAAAGUCUGAUCCAGCCAUGCCGCGUGCGGGAAGAAGGCCUUCGGGUUGUAAACCGCUUUUGUCAGGGAAGAAAUCUUCUGGGUUAAUAACUCGGGAGGAUGACGGUACCUGAAGAAUAAGCACCGGCUAACUACGUGCCAGCAGCCGCGGUAAUACGUAGGGUGCAAGCGUUAAUCGGAAUUACUGGGCGUAAAGCGUGCGCAGGCGGUUAUGCAAGACAGAUGUGAAAUCCCCGGGCUCAACCUGGGAACUGCAUUUGUGACUGCAUAGCUGGAGUGCGGCAGAGGGGGAUGGAAUUCCGCGUGUAGCAGUGAAAUGCGUAGAUAUGCGGAGGAACACCGAUGGCGAAUGCAAUCCCCUGGGCCUGCACUGACGCUCAUGCACGAAAGCGUGGGGAGCAAACAGGAUUAGGUACCCUGGUAGUCCACGCCCUAAACGAUGUCAACUGGUUGUUGGGAAG
rnacentral:rRNA from 1 species